rnacentral:rRNA from 1 species
GUAGGGAAUAUUGGGCAAUGGAUGCAAGUCUGACCCAGCCAUCCCGCGUGCCGGAAGAAGGCCCUCAGGGUUGUAAACGGCUUUUGACGGUGAAGAAUCGACAGGAUGCGUCCUGUUUUGACGGUAGCCGUUGAAUAAGCACCGGCUAACUCCGUGCCAGCAGCCGCGGUAAUACGGAGGGUGCGAGCGUUGUCCGGAUUUAUUGGGUUUAAAGGGUGCGUAGGCUGGAAGGUCAGUCAGCGGUGAAAAGCUAUCGCUUAACGAUAGUCUUGCCGCAGAUACUUCCGUUCUUGGAUGAGGAGGAGGCCACUGGAACGGAUGGUGUAGCGGUGAAAUGCAUAGAUAUCAUCCAGAACACCGAUUGCGAAGGCAGGUGGCUGUACCUUAAUCGACGCUGAUGCACGAAAGCAUGGGGAGCAAACAGGAUUAGAAACCCCAGUAGUCC